AUGCAGUCGAGGGGCAGCAUGAUUGAAGCUUGCUUCAUUGAUGGCGACCGGCGCACGGGUGAGUAACACGUAUCCAACCUUCCGUACACUCAGGGAUAGCCUUUCGAAAGAAAGAUUAAUACCUGAUGGUAUCUUAAGCACACAUGUAAUUAAGAUUAAAGAUUUAUCGGUGUACGAUGGGGAUGCGUUCCAUUAGGUAGUAGGCGGGGUAACGGCCCACCUAGCCUACGAUGGAUAGGGGUUCUGAGAGGAAGGGCCCCCACAUUGGAACUGAGACACGGUCCAAACUCCUACGGGAGGCAGCAGUGAGGAAUAUUGGUCAAUGGACGAGAGUCUGAACCAGCCAAGUAGCGUGAAGGAUGAAGGUCCUACGGAUUGUAAACUUCUUUUAUAAGGGAAUAAAACCUCCCACGUGUGGGAGCUUGUAUGUACCUUAUGAAUAAGCAUCGGCUAACUCCGUGCCAGCAGCCGCGGUAAUACGGAGGAUGCAAGCGUUAUCCGGAUUUAUUGGGUUUAAAGGGAGCGCAGACGGGUCGUUAAGUCAGCUGUGAAAGUUUGGGGCUCAACCUUAAAAUUGCAGUUGAUACUGGCGUCCUUGAGUGCGGUUGAGGUGUGCGGAAUUC
rnacentral:rRNA from 1 species